GGGAUCGUAGCUCAAUGGCAGAGCAACCGCAUGUAUUCGGCUUCCCCGACUCGCGCGACGCGAUCGCGCCCCCACCCGGAAAGCCUACACACGCAUCGGAAUGUUAAUCCGGUGGUUGCAGGUUCGAAUCCUGCCGAUCCCG
rnacentral:tRNA from 1 species